UUUCACUUGUUGGUGAGGUAGUGGCUCACCAAGGCGACGACGGGUAGCCGGCCUGAGAGGGCGACCGGCCACACUGGGACUGAGACACGGCCCAGACUCCUACGGGAGGCAGCAGUGGGGAAUAUUGCACAAUGGGCGAAAGCCUGAUGCAGCGACGCCGCGUGAGGGAUGACGGCCUUCGGGUUGUAAACCUCUUUCAGCAGGGAAGAAGCGAAAGUGACGGUACCUGCAGAAGAAGCGCCGGCUAACUACGUGCCAGCAGCCGCGGUAAUACGUAGGGCGCAAGCGUUGUCCGGAAUUAUUGGGCGUAAAGAGCUCGUAGGCGGCUUGUCACGUCGGUUGUGAAAGCCCGGGGCUUAACCCCGGGUCUGCAGUCGAUACGGGCAGGCUAGAGUUCGGUAGGGGAGAUCGGAAUUCCUGGUGUAGCGGUGAAAUGCGCAGAUAUCAGGAGGAACACCGGUGGCGAAGGCGGAUCUCUGGGCCGAUACUGACGCUGAGGAGCGAAAGCGUGGGGAGCGAACAGGAUUAGAUACCCUGGUAGUCCACGCCGUAAACGGUGGGCACUAGGUGUGGGCAACAUUCCACGUUGUCCGUGCCGCAGCUAACGCAUUAAGUGCCCCGUGG
rnacentral:rRNA from 1 species